AUGCACAUGAUGGAAAUCUUAUUCUGGCUGAUGUCACCUUGAUGUUUCCAAAGGAACCACUGAUGCAU